AGUUUAUAUUUUAAAUUUUAAAAUAUAAAUAUAAAAUAUAAAAAUUCUAAUUCUAAUAUAAAGAAAAGAAUAAUAUUAUUAUUUUUUAUUUAUAACUAUCCACUUUAAUUCUUAUUCCAUCUUACCUAACCAAACGCUAUUUUUCUUAUUUCUAGGAAUAACCUAUCCAAACGCAAAAUUGAUCUAAUCCCCGCUUAUAUCUUAAUUUAUAAUCCCCGAAAUACUCACUUUUUGCUUAUUCUCAAACCAAAUGAUACCUAAAGGGAUAUAUUUGUGAUGGAAAAAAUGUCAUUUCACUUAUAAAAUAGAUGGUGCUUUAAUGGUAAUAAAUUAGAGAAAAAUAUUUAAAAAUAUUAAGGCUUUUGUAGGAACAAUACAUAAAAGUUAAACUUUGUAGGGAUAUAUUUGUAAUUUAUUAUAUUGACAUGAACCUAUAUAAAAUUAACCAAAAAAAUAAAAGGAAAAAAA
rnacentral:lncRNA from 1 species